rnacentral:rRNA from 1 species
CAACAGGGAUUGCCCUAGUAACGGCGAGUGAAGCGGCAACAGCUCAAAUUUGAAAUCUGGCUUCGGCCCGAGUUGUAAUUUGUAGAGGAAACUUUUGGUGAGGCACCUUCUGAGUCCCCUGGAACGGGGCGCCAUAGAGGGUGAGAGCCCCGUAUAGUCGGAUGCCGAUCCAAUGUAAAGUUCCUUCGACGAGUCGAGUAGUUUGGGAAUGCUGCUCAAAAUGGGAGGUAAAUUUCUUCUAAAGCUAAAUAUAGGCCAGAGACCGAUAGCGCACAAGUAGAGUGAUCGAAAGAUGAAAAGCACUUUGAAAAGAGGGUUAAAUAGCACGUGAAAUUGUUGAAAGGGAAGCGUUUGUGACCAGACUUGCGCCGUUCCGAUCAUCCGGUGUUCUCACCGGUGCACUCGGGGCGGCUCAGGCCAGCAUCGGUUUUGGUGGGGGGAUAAAGGUUCGGGGAACGUAGCUCCUUCGGGAGUGUUAUAGCCCCGGGCGUAAUGCCCUCGCUGGGACCGAGGUUCGCGCAUCUGCAAGGAUGCUGGCGUAAUGGUCAUCAACGACCCGUCUUGAAACACGGACCAAGGAGUCAAGGUUUUGCGCGAGUGUUUGGGUGUAAAACCCGCACGCGUAAUGAAAGUGAACGUAGGUGAGAGCUUCGGCGCAUCAUCGACCGAUCCUGAUGUAUUCGGAUGGAUUUGAGUAAGAGCGUUAAGCCUUGGACCCGAAAGAUGGUGAACUAUGCUUGGAUAGGGUGAAGCCAGAGGAAACUCUGGUGGAGGCUCGCAGCGGUUCUGACGUGCAAAUCGAUCGUCAAAUCUGAGCAUGGGGGCGAAAGACUAAUCGA